rnacentral:rRNA from 1 species
AUAAGAGGUCCAGCCUGCCCAGUGACUAAGUUCAACGGCCGCGGUAUCCUAACCGUGCGAAGGUAGCGUAAUCACUUGUUCUUUAAAUGAGGACUAGUAUGAAUGGCACCACGAGGGUUAUACUGUCUCCUUUUUCCAAUCAAUGAAACUGAUCUCCCCGUGAAGAAGCGGGGAUAAAGCUAUAAGACGAGAAGACCCUAUGGAGCUUCAAACAACAAUAGCACUGGCCCCACCUUUUACGUCCGUAGACAUAACCAUUACUCUAGCCAGCAUGACUAUUAGUUUUAGGUUGGGGUGACCGCGGAGCAAAAAUUAACCUCCACAUUGAACGGAGCUUCUCCUGAGCUAAAAGCUACGACUUUAAGCACCAAUAAAUUGACAUUAAUUGACCCAACAUGUUGAACAACGAACCAAGUUACCCUAGGGAUAACAGCGCAAUCCAUUUCAAGAGCCCCCAUCGACAAAUGGGUUUACGACCUCGAUGUUGGAUCAGGGUACCCCAGUGGUGCAGCCGCUACUAAAGGUUCGUUUGUUCAACGAUUAAAACCCUACGUGAUCUGAGUUCAG